CUGCAGUCAGUAAAGCCAGGUAAGCCCCUUCCCCCUUGUAGUCUGGAGUACAGACUCUGUACAUAGCAGCUUUCUUUGGCGUGUCUGCACCAUGUUGCUCACAGGGGUUGUCCUAAAGGACCUGGGAGAUUUCC